CCUACGGGCGGCAGCAGUGAGGAAUAUUGGUCAAUGGACGAGAGUCUGAACCAGCCAAGUAGCGUGAAGGAUGACUGCCCUAUGGGUUGUAAACUUCUUUUAUAUGGGAAUAAAACGUUCCACGUGUGGGAUUUUGUAUGUACCAUAUGAAUAAGGAUCGGCUAACUCCGUGCCAGCAGCCGCGGUAAUACGGAGGAUCCGAGCGUUAUCCGGAUUUAUUGGGUUUAAAGGGAGCGUAGGUGGAUUGUUAAGUCAGUUGUGAAAGUUUGGGGCUCAACCGUAAAAUUGCAGUUGAAACUGGCAGUCUUGAGGAGAGUAGAGGUGGGCGGAAUGCGUGGUGUAGCGGUGAAAUGCUUAGAUAUCACGAAGAACUCCGAUUGCGAAGGCAGUUCACUGGACUGCAACUGACACUGAGGCUCGAAAGUGUGGGUAUCAAACAGGAUUAGAUACCCGAGUAGUC
rnacentral:rRNA from 1 species